rnacentral:misc_RNA from 1 species
GUCGCCCCUCCCCGCUGCGGCUCUAUUCUCUCAACUCUUUUUGGUUGAUUGCUCGACUGCGGCGGUUUUCCUCCGUCAUCAUUAAUGAGGCCGUGGUUUCUGCGCGGUAGGGUAAUUCACGGCUUCGGCCGUGGCGGCACGCAGCUCGGGUACCCCACAGCGAACUUGGAGCUCAGCGAGGCGGCCAUCGACUUCCUGAAGCCUUACGAUAACCUUGUGCUCUGGGGAUGGGGCUGUGUGGAGGCGGCGGAGCCCAACACCUGGGAGGCGCGCGCUGAGGAUGCGUCUCCUGCGCCGCUUGGACCUUUUCCGUUUGUGAUGUCUAUCGGCAACAACCCACAGUUCAAGAACGUAGACGUCAGUGCGGAGGUGCACUUCCUGCACAAGUUUGACGGUGACUUCUACGAGCGUGUCGUACGGAUCAUCACGCUCGAGCGGAUCCGCUCGCAGUCCGCCUUCACAACGCUGGAGGAGCUCAUCAAGACAAUCGACGGCGAUGUGGUGUUUGCCGAGGAGCACUUGAAGAUGCCUGAGUGGGCACCGUACGGGCAACAUGAAAUGGUGAACCCUUCGUGUGUGCCGGCGCAGCUGCACGGCGCAGCCGAGGUUCCAUCCUUCGGCUUUCUUGAGCUUUAGCGUGAGAACGACAGAAAACAGAGCCUACAGUGGAAGGAAACGCUUGAGCGAGACGGCAACUUCUCUCUUGGACGUAGCGCAAGUCUUUUGCACCUGUUCUGUCCAUCUGGUGUUUGUCUCUCGUACUUUCUCUUCGUACCAUGCCUUAUUCUUCUCUUGUGCGUGGAGUUGCGCCUCGAGCAUCAUCACGCGACCCCCUCUCACCCUCCCCCCACAUGUUAAGUUUUUUUUUAUUGUUUGCACAGGCCAGUGGCUCAUCUCGUACUUAAGGCGUUUGCCUCUCUG